AUUUCUAUUAUUUAAUGUUUUUAUGUGUCUGUCUUGUUGGUAUACCCUGUUUUGAAACUUUUCAGCAUUUAAACUGCAACCAGUGUUAGUUUUUUUUUUUAGAAUGUUAAACUAUAUAUGUUGAAUUGUUGGAAUUAACCAGUUUUUUUUUUUUCAUAGUCUUAGUUUUCUAUGUGAUGCCUUGAUAUUUCGAGGGUAAGUCUGGAAUUCCGCUAGUUCUGAACUAUUCACGUUUGGCAAAAGUUCACUACUAGCAGAACUCAGAUUUGCUCCCGAUAAACGACGGGAAUGACCAGUGGGGAUGGUCUUAUUCAGGCAACAGAUGGUAUACAUGUGCGAUGCCUCUUGGAGAGUGCUGUAAAUUACUCUGGUGUCAAGUGAGCCAAAUCUACUUUUGCCGCUCUCAUGGUUUUGUGUUCACUUAACAUCAGGCUUGGCGUAGAGUCCAUCAGGGGAAUUUCCAAUGUUUGGUCUGACUGAACUUUCAUUUCUUCAGAGAAUCAGAAUGUAUUUUAAUAUUUUGUAUUUGCAAUGCUUCUUUAUCCAAUUUAUAUUUUGCAUCAUAUGUUCUAUUUAGUUUUCUGAAAUAUUAAUAUCAUUAGAGCAAAAAUGAUAGGUAGAUAUAAUGAGUAGAAGCAAAAAUCUUCUAACAUGCUUCUUUUUUCUUUUUCCUAUAGGUAACCUCUGCCUAUACUUAUCCUUAAAGUUAAUCCUAUUCAGCUAACUGCUUUAACUUUAUUGUAUUAAAGUGUUAGAAAAGCUUAUGAGUGGAAACACCAACUAACCAUAACAUUAAGACCACUGAUAACUAAAGUGUGUGAAGCCUGUAAUCUUGUUCCAACACAGCAAUCUCCGGGGAAUACGUGCAUGCUGGCAUGAAAGAGACUUUAUUUUGAUCUCUCUCUGACGCAGCAGGAACAGCUUGGGAAACCUCAACACUUGUUUAUAGAUCAGAGUCUGCAGUGAAAGCUGUUAUCUGUUCAUCCAGAAUUCAGGCGUUUAAGAUCGCCAGAAGCAUUUAAGCAUUAUUUUAAUGAAAAAAAUUAAAUCAAAUCAAAGGGAACUUACCUUAAAGCAAGGCUCUAGAGUUGAUAUCCUAACACCAGAAACACCCACAGAUGUUUUAAUGUCAGUUACUGAGCUUUCAAAUAUUUUGAUGGCCAAAAGAUAUUGAUUCUGAGCAGCUGGUCUUUAUGUUAUCAUAACAUGUUUGGUUUACUUUUUCUCUAAAUGUGUAUUUUAAUUUGUUAUUUUAUUGUAACUUUUACACUUUUCAUAUCAACACCAUUUUUAAAGUCAAUGAAUUAAAAACCUAGAGAGGAGACCAACUUCAGCUUCAGCCAAUCAACGUCGUGAUUGCACCAAUCAUCUUUCAAGAUCCCCUUCAUUUAGCUCCUAAGUUAGCCUCCCUCCAGCUCACCAGCGAACUUUCACCCACCUCCAACCCAUCCCCUCCCUCACUCUCUGACUAUUCAGUCCCACUCACCCUCUGACUAGUAAUGUCGAUUCACAGCAUCAGAAUAUUCUACCAGGGCCCGAGCAUCAAAUAAGUUAUUUCAUUCCUUGCAAUAAAACUUUUCUAAUCGCAGUUUUUCUCUGUGUGAGUCUGUCCAGGAUGAAAUGGUUCACUCUGAGCUCAAGUGACAGACACGAACAGGCCUGAAGAAGAUGUGGAGACCAUUAUGCUGCCUGUGACAUUGUUCAGCAUGAUUUGUUUUAGUGUGUGUGCACACGACAUGUUGGAAACCGUAAACCAUAUACCAGUCUUAUCUUUAUAUUUGAUGAACAUGUUUACAUUUUUCCACUGCUGCACUUUAGAAAUGGAAAUGUCUUGAGAGCUGUACUGAACGAAAUUUUGUUCUGUAUACAUUCUGUGUGCACAAAAUGACAAUAAAGUCUGUAAGUCUCAGUUUAA